UGCGCUGCUUCCUUCAAGCCUGCGGUGAGCGCCUUGGGGCGCCGGGCCCCUACCUCUUUGAACAACAGCCGAUUGGGGGGCGUUGCUGUCGAUCAGAGAGUCUGGGCGGGAGCAUCCAGCCCUGUUGGGACAACGGGCUGUCAGUCAGAAGAACCGGGCGCUGAUUGGGCCCUGCCUCUACGGCUUGAGCGGUAGUUGCCCGGGCCAAGGCUUGAGCGGCGAUGGGAAGGUGGCGUCCGGAAGCGUUAGUGCCCGGGGCGUGCUGCCUUUGUUUUACCGGCUCCCCCUGAGCCAGGGAGCCGAGCUCAGGGUCCGCUGCGUAUCUUGAUAUCUUCUGGUAAUGAACAGAGGGAGUGUUGCUGAUUUCAAAAUUUUUCUAUGGAGUUGAGUAAGCAUUCUACAACAACCGUGAUAGAGACACUCCCAGGACACCAAGAGAAAUACGGAGAGAAGAGAAAAUACUUGGUGGUCAAGAGGAAUACUUGUGAAUAAAGAAAAGGAAUCUUAUGUUCUUGGGGAAGCCCAUAACACAUGACCAGAGAUGGCACCUAAACCACUUGGGAAGUGGGAAAAGUAUGGAAAAAGAUACUGUCGAGAUUGGGAAAGGGAAACUGGAUUAAAAGAAUGGAUUCGAAGUGUACCAGGAGAUGACACAAAGGCAGCAUGCAAAUAUUGCGCAUGUGAAAUCAGAGCCCAUCAUAGUGAUUUGGUUGCACACAGUAAAACCAAAAAGCACAAGAGACAUGUUGCUUUAUUUUCAUGUUCUUCUGAUAUGAAAAAACAUUCAUUUGAAUUUGAAGUUGAAAACCAAAAUUCAUUUGACGAUGAUAUCACGCAAGCCAAAAUGGAUCAAUCUGUUAAUGUGUGUGCACUGAAGCUAGCGGCACACAUAGCUUGCCAUAUGAGCAUUUUUACAGUGGAUCACCUAGGCUGCAUUGUUGGAGGGAUAGCAGAGAAGGACAUUAGUCUGCAUAGAACAAAAUGCUCCACACUGAUUAGAAAUGUCAUUGGUCCUACUGUACACGAAGAACUUCUGAGAGACAUUGGCAAUGGACACUACUCGUUGAUCAUUGAUGAAAGUACAGAUGUAUCAGCACAAAGGCAACUUUGCUUGAUAGUAAGAUAUUUUAGCAACAAGCUUAAAUGUAUUGUAUCAUCCUUUGCAGGGAUCAUUAACUUGACUAGAAGUGGUACUAUCACAGAAGCCCUCUUGACAUUUCUAAAUGACAACAAGCUGAACAUAAAAAAGUGUGUUGGGAUUGCUGCUGAUGGUUUCAAUACAAGCUUAUGUGGAAAUAAAAAUUCAUUGCUCAAAAAGUUUUAUGAACUCAAUCCUUGUGGAGUUUUCAUCAAAUAUAGGGGAUCAUAUCAAGUUGAAACAGCAAUGGAAAAAUCUGGAUGCUGUCUCAUGGACAAACACAGAAGAUAGCCAAAUAGAACAGUUCUGGAUAGAAGUUGCAAAACACACAGAUGAAGUUGGUGAUAAGGAUUUUGUUGAGCUAGGAUUAUUUGCCCUUGCCCUUCUCACCUUGCCCUUCAGCACUGCAGCUGUGGAGUGUACAAUCUCACAAAUGAACUUGAUAAAAACCAAGUUAAAGAACAGACUGCAGGACAGCCUACUUGAAAAUAUCUUAAGGAUUAGGGCCUAUAUGCACCGAAAUAAGAUUUGCUGCAACCAGUUUCAACCAUCCAAAGAGAUGAUAUCUUUGUUUAAUAAUGAGUUUUAUGCAAUUGCUAAUAGCAAGGACACUACAGAUGACUCUGAGGAGGAUAUCUUUUGAAAAGACUCAAGUGAAGAGGAUCUCUUUUAAAAAAGUAAGCAAGGAUUUUCAAAAUGGCUCAUUGCAAUUGAACUAUUUGACUCAUGCAUUUCAAAUUUUGUUCUAUCUACAAAUCUGUUUUCCCAUUCCUUUAGUAAGAACUACUUUUCAUAGAGGAAGAUACAUUGCAUAAAGCCACACAACCCUUUUUAGAAAAGGAUUUUUGAAAAACUAAAGUAAAAUUAAUGAGGCAUGCUCUGGUACAGGGGUCGGCAACCUACGGCACGUGUGCCAAACACCGCAUGCCGAUUUUGAGUGGCACGCUGCUGCCUGCCACGGUCCCAGCCCCACUCAGCCCCCCCGUCCACCGCUCUCCCCUGUGGGGGCGGAGGCAGAAGCUUGGUUCUCCGGCAGCCAAGCUUCCCUCUUCUCCCAGUGUGGUGUUUUCCUGCCCCUCCUCCUCCCUCUCCCUGCCGCCGAUCAGCUGAUGGCCCUUGCGAGGGGGAGGAGUGGCAGCGUGCUCCCUGCUCCGUCGAGGAAGUAGAGAAGAGGUAGGGUCGGGACCUUGGGGAAGGGGACAGGGCCUAUCCCUUCCAGCCCCCUGCCAUGAGCUGUUCAGGGCAGGGGGCUGGGAGCACCCCAGCCCUCUGCCCUGACCCCCCCCCCUUCUGCCCUGCACCCCCCCCACACUCCCGAGCUGAGCAGGCUGGCAGCAUAAGAUCAGCAUUUUAAUUUAAUUUUAAAUGAAGCUUCUUAAACAUUUUGAAACCCUCUUUACUUUACAUACAACAAUAGUUUAGUUAUAUAAUAUAGACUUAGAGAGACCUUCUAAAAAACGUUAAAAUGUAUUACCGGCACGUGAAACCUUAAAUUAAAGUGAAUAAACGAAGACUUGGCUCACCA
ensembl:lncRNA